AGCUCCAAUAGCGUAUAUUAAAAUUGUUGCGGUUAAAACGCUCGUAGUUGAAUAUUUGCUGAAAAUAGCUGGUCCAUCCUAGUGAUGAGCACCUGGCACGUUUUCAGCUCUUCGUUGGGGAUUCUGUUUGCACUUUACUGUGUGGCAUACGAACCAAUUCUUUUACUUUGAGGAAAUGAGAGUGUUUCAAGCAGGCGUUUGUCGUGAAUACGUUAGCAUGGAAUAAUAACACAGGACCUGGUUCCGAAGUUGUUGGUUUUUGGAGCGAGGUAAUCAAAAUAGGGAUAGUUGGGGGCAUUCGUAUUUAACUGUCAGAGGUGAAAUUCUUGGAUUUUUUAAAGACGAACUACUGCGAAAGCAUCUGCCCAGGAUGUUUUUA
rnacentral:rRNA from 1 species